rnacentral:rRNA from 1 species
UAGGGAAUCUUCCGCAAUGGGCGAAAGCCUGACGGAGCAACGCCGCGUGAGUGAUGAAGGUCUUCGGAUCGUAAAACUCUGUUAUUAGGGAAGAACAAAUGUGUAAGUAACUAUGCACGUCUUGACGGUACCUAAUCAGAAAGCCACGGCUAACUACGUGCCAGCAGCCUCGGUAAUACGUAGGUGGCAAGCGUUAUCCGGAAUUAUUGGGCGUAAAGCGCGCGUAGGCGGUUUUUUAAGUCUGAUGUGAAAGCCCACGGCUCAACCGUGGAGGGUCAUUGGAAACUGGAAAACUUGAGUGCAGAAGAGGAAAGUGGAAUUCCAUGUGUAGCGGUGAAAUGCGCAGAGAUAUGGAGGAACACCAGUGGCGAAGGCGACUUUCUGGUCUGUAACUGACGCUGAUGGGCGAAAGCGUGGGGAUCAAACAGG